AUUGAACGCUGGCGGUAUGCUUAACACAUGCAAGUCGAACGGUAACAGGCCUUCGGGCGCUGACGAGUGGCGGACGGGUGAGUAACGCGUAGGAAUCUGCCUCAUAGUGGGGGACAACGUGUGGAAACGCACGCUAAUACCGCAUACGCCCUACGGGGGAAAGCGGGGGACCUUCGGGCCUCGCGCUAUGAGAUGAGCCUGCGUUAGAUUAGCUCGUUGGUAGGGUAAAGGCCUACCAAGGCGACGAUCUAUAGCUGGUCUGGGAGGACGAUCGGCAACACUGUGACGGAGACACGGCCCAGGCUCCUACGGGAGGCAGCAGUGGGGAAUAUUGGACAAUGGGCGCAAGCCUGAUCCAGCAAUACCGCGUGUGUGAAGAAGGCCCUAGGGUUGUAAAGCACUUUCAAUAGGGAGGAAAACCUGACGGUCAAUACCCGGCAGCUUGACAUUACCUAUACAAGAAGCACCGGCUAACUCCGUGCCAGCCGCCGCCGUAACAC
rnacentral:rRNA from 1 species